rnacentral:lncRNA from 1 species
CGCAUCCAAGACAGCCUCCAGCAUAGGCAUGUAUGAGCAUCAAAGCUGCAGUCCAAAAUUCAUGUCACCAAGUAGAAACUUGCAUCUCCGGACCAAGGAAAAAGCUUCGCCUGUUACAGGUAGUGAAGGCUACAACUCAGUAAGUUGUUAGGUGUAUAUGGGUUUAUAAAGCGUAAAAUUCGCAUGGUCAAUGCUUGAUAUACCAAUUCGGAGACUAUACAGCUUAGCUAGACCUCUCCGUCUGGUUUGCAGGAUUUCUGGCACCUCCUAUGGACUUGCCUUGUGAAAGGCCCAUCUCCCCUCCUGGACAAGCUGAUAUGCUGAAGAGUGGCUCCAUUUCAUUUUUCCAAACAGGA